rnacentral:lncRNA from 1 species
GAAAGGGACAGGAACAAUAAACUAGGGAAACUAACUUUCAGCAGUUCUUGUCUCCAUCAAACAGAAAUUGAAUUAGAUAUUCUUUAAAUAAGAUCAAACAUUUUGAAAAAUAAAUAAAGGAAGACAAUGUGCAAAUUCAAAAUGUAUCCCCUAGUUAUGAUUGCAUAUUCAUUUCCCUUGCAUUAGUCUUUGGAACCAUACAAAGGGGAAGGAUUUUCCAGGGUUUUGGUCGGUGAUAUCCAAGAUUUGAAUGGGAUUUACAUAAUGGAACAAAUACUUUUGGAACUUGCUCCAAAAUUGAAAAGGAAUUAUAAUCCCAACUAAGAUGUAAAUUAGGAAGGCUUGUUUAAAACAAUAUUUUAAACAGAAAUAGAGAAAAAGUAAUCACUUGAUUUCCCUUGAGGACACCUAUAGCAAGGUUUCCAUUCAAUAAUUCUGCUAAGUCUCCGCAUCUCUGGCCUCAGUCUUUGUGCAUCAGAACACUCCAGAACACAUAUUGGUACCACCGUAAAUACCAUGCAGUGCAGGACAGUCUCCAUCCAUUCGCAACUUAAUGUCAUUUUCACACGGUUUUCCAUAUUGUGUUAAAGUACUCUCUCGCUCAACGCUUUUGUCAGAAUAUUAAUCACUUUCUUCAGACCAUUCCUCUUCAGUUUUCACCCUUGCGUAUGCCCUGUUACCUCUCAUGAUGGUCGAUAGCUCUUGUAUCGAACAAGAAGUGCUUCUUUCCAUCUUUUCUGCUAAUAUAUCUGUAAUCUCGGCCAAUCCCAUCCCUACAAGUUUGUUCUUCAACAACUCACAUGUUGUAGUGUAUGGUGGGAUCCCUCCGUCAAUCAUCAUUUCAAAGUAUUUACACGCUUCUUCGAGUUUCCCUUUCUUCUUACAAAGACCAUGAAUCAUGACAGCAUAUGUCGAAACUGAAGGAUAAAAUCCUCUCUCUUCCAUGUAAUCCCAAACUUUCUCAACUCUAUCAAACCUUCCUAUUCUGAUGAGCAUUUUAAGCACCAUAUUAUAUGUAUGCCUGUCGGGUUGGCAAGCAUCUUGUUCCAUUCUUGAAAUUAGCCUUAGUGCCUUAUUAACUUCGUUAUGGUCACAAUGAAAAGCCAAAAUAGUAUUAUAACUCCAAGUAUCCGGACUAACCCUUCUCUCAAUCAUCUCAUCUAGAAGCUCGUAAGCUUCAUCCACCUUAUCAUUCGUACAAAGCUUCUUGAUAACACAGUUGUAAGUAAACACAUUAGGGACAAGAUCAUACUUUCUCAUAGAAUCGAGGACCCUAAAGGCUGAGUGAAGAUUAUUUGCUUCACACGAAGCACGAAUAAAUAUUGAGUAUGUGUAUGCAUCUGGUUCUAGCCCCUUAUGCCUCAUCCCUUGGAACAAUUCGUACGCCUCAUUUACCUUCUGUCCCUUACAUAAAGAGUCCAACAUACUAUUCCAAGCAAGUAAAUCCACUCCACACCCUCUCUCGAGCAUUUCAUCAAAUAGCCUCUGACCGUUACUUGACUCUCCAAUCUCACCCCAACCCCUAAUCAAAAUGCUAUAAGAUUUCACUGUCAGGGUAAAAUGGCCUUUAACUCUGUCGAAAAAAUCCUGGGCAUGCUUCACAUGCUUCUUUUUGCACAGUAUAAACAAAAGCUGAUCCAGAUCAUCUACACAAGGCCUAAUUCCAAAAUCAGACAUCUUAUUGAAAGCCCUUAUAGCAUCAGCAGGUAAAUUAGCCCUACUAUAAGCCCUAAAAACAACCCAGAAUAUUUCUUGGCUUAUAUAAAAAGAUUCAGCCCUUUUCAUCUCUACUAAAAAAUCCCAAAGCAAUGGGAAUUGUCUGCUGCUUCCCAAGAUAUCUACAAGAAUAUGAUGAGCUUCUCUACUAUGCUCAAACCCCGGAAUUUUCUGAGCCCAAUGGAAGAAUCUUUGCGCAGAAAAUCCAAGAUUUUUACAUCUCUUCAAUACUUGUUCGACCAAAUUUGCAUUGAUUUCCGAAACAAAUGGGGUGAGAGCUGAAUCAAGGUCGUGGCCUGGGCUUCUGUAGUCACUGAGAACGCGGGAAAGUUCAUUGACAAGGUUCUGUGUAGAAGAAUCAGUUAAGACUUGGUGGGGUUGAAUUGAAAGUGAUUGAGAUGAAAAUGGCAUGGAAUUUUGGCGGUGAUUUACGGGGAGAUUGAGAAAACUGCGGGUGGUUUCGAAACUAUUGUAGGGUUGAAUUUGAAAGAGGAGAUGGUGGAGGAACGAUUGGAAGAAAUUAUAGGUGGGUCUGGCCCGAUUGGAGAGUGACAUAAUCGCCAUUUAUGAAGCGGAAUUGAGCAAAUCAAUCUGCGGCUUAAGGGGGCAAAUAGUUUAGAGUCCGAGGGGCGAAGAAAGGCAGUGCUGCUGGACAGGAUUGUAA